rnacentral:rRNA from 1 species
GUGUCAGCAGCCGCGGUAAUACGAAGGUGGCAAGCGUUGUUCGGAUUUACUGGGCGUAAAGGGAGCGUAGGUGGUUAGGUAAGCCCUCCGGGAAAUCUUCAGGCUUAACCUGAAAAGGUCGGGGGGGACUGCCUGGCUAGAGGACGGGAGAGGAGCGCGGAAUUCCCGGUGUAGCGGUGAAAUGCGUAGAGAUCGGGAGGAAGGCCGGUGGCGAAGGCGGCGCUCUGGAACGUUUCUGACACUGAGGCUCGAAAGCGUGGGGAGCAAACAGGAUUAGAUACCCUGGUAGUCC